rnacentral:ncRNA from 1 species
GCUUUAUAAUUAUCCAAAAUAAUUGCAGGUUAAAAUUACUUUUGCCUUGAAAGAAUUGAUAUUAAACUUGCUUUCUUCAACAUUUUCAGCUAGUUAGUAAGAUAAUAGCUUACGAAGGCAAAUAUGGGUAGCUGGCCUGAGACGGAGCCAGCCACUUUGGGCUAGGAAAACCGCCCAAACGCCAACUGGGGGCUGCAGUGAGGAAUCUUUUUCCAUGAGUGCAAGUUUGACAGAAC